CCUCACUGCUCCACCCUUGCUGUGUGAACUUGAAGAAGUGACUUCUCUCCAAGCUUCAGUUUCCAGUCUGUAAAACGGAGCUGACACCCAGACUUUGUUCCUAGGGCUGUCGCAGGGGUUAAAUGAGAGCACCGUGGCGAUGUUCUUGGGCCAGUUCCUGGAAGGAAAGUAGCACAUUGCCCGGCACAGAGCAAACGCUGAGGAAAGUCACUUGGGGCUGUCUUCAGGCUGCAUCACAAAAUUCCUCCUUCAGCAAAGACACCAUCUGGCAAGCGCCCGGCAGUCUCCGCCAUCCUCUGUAGUUCUGCCAGCGUAUUACUGUUUUGUUUAGUUUUAAAAAUAUAGAUGACAUUUAUCGAGUACUCACUGUUAUUUCUCCCUUAAUUCUCUCCACAGACCCACGUGGUAGGCGCUGCCAUGAGCCCUAUUUUCCAGAUGAGGAAAAUUGAGGCUUAGAAAUAGUUAAGCGAGCCGUCCCAGAUCACAGAUCACAUGGCCAGGUUUGUGUUCUGAGGCUUAGUUGUCUGGGGCACGAGUGCUUGAAGAAGAGAAAAGCUCCCCGGGAUGCUUGCGCACGUGCUCCGGCAAGUCUGCAUCUGACUCUCAAGGCUGUUUUGUCACCUGAUCUCCCAGUGACUCUGAGAUGUGUGAGGAGUGCGGCUCAAGGAGUGGGGAGCUCAGGGACAUGCCUACUGCCACUCAGCAGGUGCCCAUUGGCUUUUGAGUGCGUGACUUCUGCAAUAAAGGAGGAAUUGAAGACGGGCUCAGAG